rnacentral:rRNA from 1 species
AUACGUAGGAUGCGAGCGUUAUCCGGAUUUAUUGGGUUUAAAGGGUGCGCAGGCGGGCGAUUAAGUCAGCGGUGAAAGGCUCGGGCUCAACCGGAGCAGUGCCGUUGAUACUGGUUGUCUUGAAUGCGGUCAAGGCCGGCGGAAUGUGGCGUGUAGCGGUGAAAUGCAUAGAUAUGCCACAGAACACCGAUAGCGAAGGCAGCUGGCCGGGCCUGCAUUGACGCUGAGGCACGAAAGCGUGGGGAUCGAACAGGAUUAGAUACCCUGGUAGUCCACGCUGUAAACGAUGGACACUCGUUGUCGGCGACAGACAGUCGGCGGCCAAGCGAAAGUGAUAAGUGUCCCACCUGGGGAGUACGGUCGCAAGGCUGAAACUCAAAUGAAUUGGCGGGG